rnacentral:rRNA from 1 species
AUACGGAGGGUGCGAGCGUUAAUCGGAAUUACUGGGCGUAAAGCGCGCGUAGGCGGAUAAUUAAGUCAGAUGUGAAAUCCCCGGGCUCAACCUGGGAACUGCAUUUGAUACUGAUUAACUAGAGUAUGGUAGAGGUGAGUGGAAUUUCCGGUGUAGCGGUGAAAUGCGUAGAGAUCGGAAGGAACACCAGUGGCGAAGGCGACUCACUGGGCCAUUACUGACGCUGAGGUGCGAAAGCGUGGGUAGCAAACAGGAUUAGAAACCCUAGUAGUCC